rnacentral:lncRNA from 1 species
UAGAUUCCAAACUUUUACUAUUCUUUUUCACAAUUUUGAGCGACCAAAAUUAUACUUUUCUGCUCAAGUAAUACCCAUACGUUCCCUUUUUAUUAAUAGUUAAGUUAAAUCUACAAAAUAAAUAUAUGUGCUUAACAACCCAUCAAUUUGUAUAUGGCAAAACUUUCUAAAAUAAAAAGUUAUGUUUUGUAAGAAAAAAACAAUCACAUUUGUGAAUUUUGCAAUGUUGCUAUCUGUUUGUAUCUUUGUUGUCUGAGUUAUAUGAAAUGAAAGAUGCCAAGGGAGUUGAGG